UCCGUUUCCUCUCUGAAGGGGGAUGGGUCCUGGCCAGCCCGGGAGGCUUGGGCUGGGUGACCUGAGUUUUCCCAUGGCCCCUCGUGGUCCCAGUUAUCUAAGCUCUUGCCUGAAAAGGGUCCCAAGUCCCAAACCCCAGUCAAUGAAAGUGGCCAGCAGAGGGCACAUCAGGACCAGCGCCACCCUGCAUGGGGCUCUGGUGUGGGAUUAAUGCCCCAGAACUCUAAGUCCUAGGAGGUCAGGUGGGAGGAUGGCCGCAGCCUAGCUGGACAGGAAUGCCUGGGGACGGUGCCUGCUGCUGGUUUCACUCGUGCCUGGAGCGUGGUUGCCGGGUGUUUCUUUCCCAGGGAUUUGAAUGCCAGGGAACACAGCUGCUAAGGGUUGAAUGGCUUUGGCUGCUGAGCUCCUGCAGGUGUUUCAAGGCACAGGUGGAUGGAACUGUUAAUGUGGGAACUUAAUGACGGUGUUGAGGAAAUAGGCCUUGCGGCUGGAGACCCGGCUCUUCCACUUCCACUUCCUGCUAAGGUACCUAGCAAGGCAGCAGGUGAUGGUCCCAGUGCCCAGGGCUCUGCACCCAGGUGGGUGAAGCUCCAGGCUCCCAGCUUCCACAGGACCCAGCCAUGGUGGUAGUGGCCAUUUGGGUAGUGAAGUAGCGCCUAAAAGACCUCUCCCUUUCAGCUACUCUGCAGUGGAAAGAAAAAUUUCAAGUAAAUCUAAAACAAUAAAAACCAGAAGCGGGCCUAGUAGGAUGCCUUUGGUCACCGGGGAAUCUCUCCUUGCAGUGCUGUUCUCAUGGGUGCACUGGUGCCAGCAGUCUGAGUGGGGCCCACAGGGGACCCUCCCUCUGCACAUGCCUGGUGGUGCCCAUCUGCUGGCCUCAGCAGAGAGCCAAAUCAAUGGGACCCACCUAAUCUUGAACCGUGAACAUCCAAAACCGUGAGGCAUAGCUACCAUCCUUCCUGGCUAAGUGGCUUGUUGUAGGUCCCUUUGGUAGUGACAAGUUGGUUUACACCAAAGCUAACAAACGACACCAUCAUACGAUCUGCCCACUAAAGUGCUCCUAUGUGUGAGACGUGCAGCAUGGCGCCUGGACGGCCCAUGGGGAGACCCUGGGUGACCUUUCAUCUCCCACUAUGGGGUCUGGGCCCUGGAUCCAUCACACUCGAAGGCUUGGAGGCCUCCCUGUGACAGGCCCAGGCUGGUCAGAGACUCGGAGUGCCCGCCCACGGGGGCCAGGUUAAGGCUCUGCGUGAGUCCUGGUAGUGACUCCACCUGCUGGUGACUCCUGGGAAUGUAUCCAGAUCCCAGUGCAAGGAAGCAUUGGCUGGAGCUGGACACCGGAACUCCCAGAGGGUCCCCGUUGUGGGAGGGCACCCUGAGGUUUCUAUCAUCAGUGAGGGAGCCAGGGUCUGGCCUGGCCUGGGUCAGACACGGAAGCCAAGGAGGACAGUGUCAGCCCAGUCUCCGCUCAGCCUGGGACCCUGUCCACGGAAGCAUCCCUCUAAAACACUUCUUCAAAUGUGCUCACCUAUGUUUAUUUUUAGACACAGAAGAAGAAUUCCAACCGCCAAGGGAUCCGGGCUUUGGUUUUCUUAGUAGAAAGAUAAGGUGGUGGGAGCGGACGCCCUGCAAUGGCAGUUGUUUUCCCAGCGUCCCGAUCACCACAGGGCAGCACCGCAUCCUCAUCAAGCCCUGCUCUGAGCCCAGCUUGGUCCCCCCAGGUCCCAGGAUGAGGGUCCAUGAGGCAUAGGAUCUACGCAUAUCCUCCACCCCGUAGGAACACCCCUCACCCUCAGGAAUAGGCGAGGCUUCGGCUCUCACGGGGAUAGUCUUUCUAAGUCAUCUAGGAGUUGCUGAGAGGCUGAAAGCGCCUGUGGCCAGUCCAGAGCCCCGAGGGCAGCACCUGUCCUGCACUUCGCUGGGUUCAGGGACCUGAGGACUCUGGGCAGCCUCAGUCCCAGGCGGCCAAGGCGAGAGGCUUAGCCCCGCCCCUCCGGGCCGAUUGGCCAGGCCGCGUUCUGGGGGCGGAGCAUUCACUCCGCCUCCGCUGGACCCGGGAACCCUCCUGAGGCAGCGGCAGCUGAGUCAGCAGCUGCAGGGACAGCGGAGCCAUGACCACCCUCGGUCGGUCCUGCUUCCAGGGUCCGCGCCGGGGGCUGGGGGCACGCGGGGCGCGCCGUGCGGGGCCUCGCCCGCCUCUGCCCGUCCUCUUUGUGGUGUUAGUGGCGGCGCCCGGCACUCGCGCCGCGGGAUACCAGACAUGCCCCACGGUGCAGCCAGACAUGCUGAACGUUCACCUGCUGCCCCACACACAUGAUGACGUGGGCUGGGUGAAAACGAUAGACCAGUACUAUGAUGGGGUUCAGAAUGAGCUCCACCACGGGGCAGUGAAGAACAUCCUGGACUCGGUCAUUUCCGCCCUGCGGGCAGAGCCCAGCCGCAGGUUCGUCUACGUGGAGAUGGCCUUCUUCUCCCGUUGGUGGCACCAGCAGACAUUCACAACCCGGCAAGCGGUGUGGGAGCUGGUGCACCAGGGGCGCCUGGAGUUUGCCAACGGUGGCUGGGUGAUGAACGACGAGGCGGCCACCCACUAUGGCGCCAUCGUGGACCAGAUGACGCUGGGGCUGCGCUUCCUGCAGGACACGUUCGGUGACGACGGGCGCCCCCGUGUGGCCUGGCACAUCGACCCCUUUGGGCACUCUCGGGAACAGGCUUCGCUCUUUGCGCAGAUGGGCUUUGAUGGCUUCUUCUUGGGGCGCGUGGAUUACCAGGACAAAGAGCUGCGGGAGAAGAAGCAGGAGAUGGAGCUGGUGUGGCGGGGCAGCACCAGCCUGGAGCCCCCGACUGCUGACCUCUUCACUGGUGUCCUCCCCAGUGUGUAUGACCCACCGAAGAAUGUAUGCUGGGACCUGCUUUGUGAAGUCAAGGUCCUGGAGGAUCACCCUUACAGCCCUCAAAACAACACCAAGGCCCUGGUUGAUUACUUCCUUGAUGUGGCCACUGACCAGUUCCAGAAGUACCGCACCAACCACACCGUGAUGACCACGGGUGGUGACUUCCAUUAUGAGAAAGCCGACAUGUGGUUCACUAACCUUGACAAGCUCAUCCGGCUGGUCAAUGCAGAGCAGGCAAACGGGAGCCGCGUCCACGUGCUCUACUCCACCCCCGCCUGUUACCUCUGGGAGCUGAACAAGGCCAACCUCACCUGGUCGCUGAAGGAGGAUGACUUCUUCCCGUAUGCCGAUGUCCCCCACCAGUUCUGGACCGGCUACUUCUCCAGCCGGCCGGCCCUCAAGCGCUAUGAGCGUGUCAGCUACAACUUCCUGCAGGUGUGCAAGCAGCUGGAGGCGCUGGCGAGCCCGGCGGCCAACGUGGGACCCUAUGGGUCGGGAGACAGCGCUCUCCUAGAGGAGGCCAUGGCCUUGCUGCAGCACCACGACGCCAUCACGGGCACCUCCCGCCAGCUAGUGGCGGAGGACUACGCGCGCCGGCUGGCUGCCGGCUGGGGGCGAUGCGAGGUUCUCCUGAGCAACGCCCUGGCGCGGCUCAGCGGCUCCCAGGAGGCUUUCUCCAUCUGCCCGGAGCUCAACAUCAGCGUCUGCCCGCUCAGCCAGACGUCGGCGCGCUUCCAGGUCGCCAUUUACAACCCCCUGGCCCGGAAGGUGGACCGCAUGGUGCGGCUGCCAGUCAGUGCGGGCGCUUUCCUCGUGAAGGACCCCAGUGGCCACGCGGUGCCCAGCGAUGUGAGCCCCUUCAGGGACUGUCACCCGUGGACACCAAUGGGCACGCCCCUCCCCCUCGUGGUCCCCUCCUGUCCCUGCAGAUCUCUGCCCGCUCUGGCCCUUAGCAUCAGCCCCCCUCGGAGCAUCUCUCCCACCCGAGUGGUCCCCUUUAAUCCCCCAGGACAUUUCCUCCGUGUUUCUGGAGAGCCCCUGCCUCCCAGACGGCCUCCCCCCUUGAGCCUCCUCCUCCCCUGCAGUCCUCCCUCCCUCCAUUGCCUCCCCUGUCUCUCUCCUCCCUCCCAGGACUCCCUCCCCUCCUUGAGUUUGCUGCCUGCUGUACUGAGUGUGAUGCUUUCUGUGCUCACCCACAGCCUCUUGGCUCAGCUCCCCCCUCCCUUCCCCGAGGUGCUGCUGCUUCCCCAACCAGAGGGACAGAAGCCCAGCCCAGAGCUGCUGUUUUCCGCCUCGGUGCCGGCCCUGGGCUUCAGCAUCUACUCAGUAUCCCGAGUCUCUCUCCAGAGAUCCAAUACCCACACCCCCCAGCCCAUUCCCCAGAAGCCUGGGUCUGAUGUGUUGGUCAUCAAAAACGAGUUCAUCCGGGCUACAUUCGACCCGGAGACAGGCCUCUUGAUACGGAUUCACGAUGUGGAGCAGAAACUCGUGCUGCCUGUGAGCCAGUCUUUUUUCUGGUACACUGCCGGUACAGAAAGCAUAAUGGACAGUCAGGUCUCUGGGGCCUACAUCUUCAAUCCCAGACAAGUGAAACCAUUCCCCAUGAGCCGCGGUGCUCAGAUCCGACUUGUGAAGACGCCCUUGGUGCAGGAGGUGCACCAGAACUUCUCAGCCUGGUGUUCCCAGGUGGUUCACCUGUAUCACAGACAGCGCUGGCCCAUGGUGUUUUUGGUUUUUUUUUGUUUUUGUUUUUGUUUUUGUUUUUGUUUUUUUGCCUGGGUGAUGUGUCCAUUGCUGCACGGGAGGUGUGAAAGGCCCUACUUUCACUGUUAGACUCCAGCUCUUUUUUUAAAUUUCCAUUCAUAUUGGCUUUAUACAUUUGGCCCUCCAACGCUGGAUUAUUUCCUCUUGCUGAGAAGGGCGCCCUCCUUCUGCAAGAUCACGGGGAGCCUGGGAUGCCCUGGUCACCCCUGUGAUGAUUCCAGUUCCAGGAGGAGGAGGCAGGUAGGGGCCACUGGGCACAGGAAGAAGCCGCUGUCCGAUCUGGAAGGCCAUUUCUGCUCCACUCCGCCACGUAGAGGACCGCUUCCCUGUCAGUCAAGCCUCAGCGGGGGCGGGUCCUGACUCGCCGACCAAUUAGGGACGGGAGGGCGGGGCUGUGCGCCACGCAGGGCAGCCGGCUCUCCCCGCCGGGGCGCGCGCCCUGCUGGCGGUUUCUCAGAGCCGCGUGCUGCUCCCGCUUUCCGUGCCGGGUCAACGGCCGCCGCUGCGGGGACUUCGAGGCCUGACCCGCGGGGGGCCGCCGGGAGGCUGGGAAGGCUCAAUUCACAAUAACUAAGACAUGGAAUCAACUCAGAUGUCCAUCAACUGAUGACUGGCUAAAGAAAUUAUGGUAUAUAGACACUAUGGAGUACUACUCAGCUGUAAAAAAAAAUGAAAGCCUGUCUUUUGCAACAAAGUGGAUACAACUGGAAACCAUUAUACUUAGUGAAAUGACCCAGUUCCAGAAGUCCGAUAUCAUGUUUUUCCUGAUCCAAGGGACAAGCUCUGGACCUGAAGCAACUGAUAAUUGAGCCUUGCAGGAAGAGCCAGAAGCCCUCAACUGGUACUGUGACGUGCAACAGGUAGUUUCACAAUCUGAAACUGUUGAGAGUUGGUGGCAAAUCACCAGAUAUGAAAGACUUACUAUAGAUUAUGUUUACCGAAGAUGUUCUUCCAUUGAGACACUUAUGCUGCCUAUGUAACUAUCUUCAGGUUAUUAUUCUAAAUGCGUCAUCAUUUUCCCCUGAAGAAUUUUUGAUGGUGCCCUGUGUUCGAGCAGCUGUGACUUGGGAGCAACACAUCAUGACAGCUCAUCUUGGGCAGGUGGUGUCAUGGAAAACAAGGUAUUCACAGAGGCAUGAGGCUGAUGGAUUGAGCAUUGGAACUCAUCCAACCAGCUUUGCCAUCCCAGAUCAAGAAGCACCAUGAGACCGAGAAAGAAAUCCUGAUGGCAAAAUCUACUGUGCAGGACAUUGAGCAGCCACUCGCUGUUUGUGGGAUGGACAUGGACAAUUUCAUGGUCUCAUGGAACUGCCUAGAAUGGGUGGCAGAUUGCCGGAUGCAUAUGGCUCAAUUAUAAGACUAUGUAGACUGUGGCAUUGUUCAUCAUGACGAGUUGAUGACUCCUUUUGGCAAGAUAGGCAGAGACAUUGUGUCAUGCCACAUUAGGCACAUUGGUGCUUAGAAUUGGUGGCAGAUUGCUGGAUGCAUAUGACUUGCUUAAGAGACUAUGUCGACUGCUUUUGUGUCACCACAAUGAGUUGGAGACUCCUUUGGGCAAGACAGGCAGUGACACUGUGUCAUGCCAAAUUAGGCACAUUGGUGUCUAUACCUCAGCUGGCAGUUUUCCAGUGGUAUGACUGGUAUCAUGACCAGAACAUGGUAAACAUAAUCAGUGCUUCAACUGUUGAUAUCAUGGUGAUAACCAAGCUGAAAUCAUGGAACUCAAUGAUACUCUAAGAUAAUAUAUCUUUUUUAAAAGAUUUAUUUAUUUGAAAUUCAUAGUUACAUAGAGAGAGGAGAGGCUGAGAGAGAAAGAGAAGUCUUCCAUCUGAUGGUUCACUCCCCAAUUGGCUGCAAUGGCCAGAGCUGCGCCGAUCCGAAGUCAGGAGCCAGGAGCUUCUUUCAGGUCUCCCGUGUGGGUGCAGAGGCCCAAGGACUUCGGCUGUCUUCUGCUUUCCCAGGCCAGAACAGAGAGCUGGAUUGGAAGAGGAGCAGCUGGGACUAGAACUGGCGCCCAUAUGGGAUGCCGGCACUUCAGGCCAGGGCAUUAGCCUGCUGCACCACAGCGCUGGUCCCUAAGAUAAUGUAUCUUGCAGUUUGACCCAGCACUUUACAGAGGGGAGCCACAUAUUCCUCGUCAUACCUGGACAGUAUACUACUCCUCAUGAGAGUAUCAUGGCUGCCCUCAGACUCCUUGUGAAGCCUAAGAUUGACAAAAAGAGGACCAACAAGCUCAUCCUGCACCAUCAGACUAAUAAGGAACUGGAGGUGUUGCUGAUACACAACAGAUCUUACCGUGUGAGAUUGCUCAGUGUUUCCUCCACGAACCACAAAGCCAUCAUGGAAAGCAGCCCAGCUGGCCAUCAGUCACUGAUCCCAAUGCCAGGCUGAAUAGUGAAGAAAAUGGAUAGCUCCUGUGCACAUUUCAUUUGUGUUUAAAUAAACCAUUAAAACUGCAAAAAAAAAAAAAAAAACCUGCUGAAAGUAGCUUUUUGGUCCAGAAAGCUGAAAAUUAUAAAUGACCAGUCCUUCAUCUGUCACCAGCUAGAAUAUGAAACAGUCUGUGGCUGAGUCCAUGAUCUACUUGGAUGCAGAUAGAAACAGGAAGAUUUCAAGAUUCUACAAGGUGCUGUGUGCAUCUCCUUCCAAAAAUCAGGGAGGAAAAAAACUAAGAGGAAGUCCAUGAUUUUUUAAAGGUUAUUUGUUUGAAGGGCAGAGUGACAGAGAAAAGAGGCAUUUUCACAUGCAGCAAGAGAAGCACCAUAUAAAAAUGCAAAGCCUCUUAUUAUCAGCAGCUGUGACCUCUUCAGAACCAACCAGUUCAUUGCGUGACAAAGAGACAUUGUUGGUGAAGUUUCUCCUGGUGUAGAAGACGGCAGGUGCAUCUGGGUGUGAGCAGUGACUCCACUGACCUUCUUCAUGCUAUAGACGUCCUUUCCCAGCUGCUGCUUGCCAGUGUGGUCCUGCCAUUCCUUACAGUGUUUGGUGAAGGCUUUCCGAGCUUCUUGCCCGUCCUUAACAGAAGCACCUUUUUUACUCAUAGCAAAGAUUUUUUUUUUUUUUUUUUUUUUUUUGCAGGCAGAGUGGACACUGAGAGAGAGAGACACAGAGAAAGGUCUUCCUUUGCCGUUGGUUCACCCUCCAAUGGCUGCUGCGGCCAGUGCACCACGCUGAUCUGAAGGCAGGAGCCAGGUGCUUCUCCUGGUCUCCCAUGGGGUGCAGGGCCCAAGCACUUGGGCCAUCCUCCACUGCACUCCCGGGCCACAGCAGAGAGCUGGCCUGGAAGAGGGGCAACUGGGACAGAAUCCGGCGCCCCUACCGGGACUAGAACCCGGUGUGCCCACACUGCAGGUGGAGAAUUAGCCUAUUGAGCCAUGGCACCGGCUGCGAAGAUGGUCUUGAAGAUCCUGAGGCCUUGAGGGGUUUCCACAUAGCCCCCAGUGCCUACAGACACCACGGGUGGUAUGUCCACAGUGACCCCAGCACCCACAACUUCCUUCUUGUGCACCUUGGAUUCUGGAUGAAAAUCCAGGUGAAUGUGGGCACUGCAGGCAAGACACUCAGUAAAUUGAGAAGACAAACAAGAGCUUAACUCCCAGGAAAUCCUGGUUGUAGGCUAGAGACGCAGGAUGUGAGCCACCUGUCCCUGCACUGCCUGUACCAACUAGUUUUCUCUGCAGAACAGCCCUUGGGACUCACAGGGCAGCUCUUGCACCACAGCUGAAGACAGUGCACAAAGGCACUUUCAUGCAAAAUCUCUAUUUGCCACGUGUCACUGGGCAGCCCAGCCCUCCUGAAAUGGUAGAGGUAUUUACACUGUACAGAGACCUACAGGAGCUCCUUGAAGACUUUCAUCCAUGCUGCACUGGUGUCUCAGCUACCACCUGACUCUGCUGGGUUUCAUGGACUUGUCUUCUUCAAAUCUUAGAAGCUUGGUGUCUUCUGCUUUUGAAAUGCUUCAACUUAUCUUCCACCACAGACCUGAGUGUGAAGGAUCAAAUUGCAGCUGAGCCAGGCACAGCUCCCUCUUGGUGUUCCAGCCUCUGCACUCCUGAUUUCCCUGCAGGGACACUGCUGUGGGAAGAAAAAAAAAACAUUUUAUUGCCGGCACCACAGCUCGCUUGGCUAAUCCUCUGCCUGCAGCGCUGGCACACCGGGUUCUAGUCCCAGUUGGAGCGCUGGAUUCUGUUCCGGUUGCUCCUCUUCCAGUCCAGCACUCUGCUGUGGCCCGGGAAGGCAGUGGAGGAUGGCCCAAGUGCUUGGGCCUUGCACACCCGCAUAGGAGACCAGGAGGAAGCACCUGGCUCCUGGCUUUGGAUAGGUGCAGUGCACCAGCCGUGGCAGCCGUUUGGCGGGUGAACCAACGGAAAAAGGAAGACCUUUCUUUCUGUUUCUCUCUCACUGUCUAACUCUGCCUGUCCAAAAAAAAAAAAAAAAAAAAAAAAAAAAACAUUUUAUUCCCUGCUGAUUCUCUAUGACCAAAAGACGAGGUAAGAAGUCAGGUGUGUACUUAGCUGUCAUUAUUCUUUCUCUGUGAACUCCUCCACCUCUAGAGGUCAAAUCUCCCACCAAUUUAUUUUCUAGAGUUAAUGUUUUCUCCAGGGUGGAAGAACUUACCUUGUUAGUUGCCUACAGCUUUCAAACAUCUCUUGGGAAUGCAGCUUCUGAUAUCUACAAAACUUCACAUUUCCCUCCCUCUUCAAGAAGGGAAAACUAUGGCAGACAUUUGUUGUAGUCAUUAAGAUGCCUUUUGGAUGCCCAAGACUGAUACAAGGGGUCUGUUUUUUCAAGUGUAGGCACCACUUUCAAUCCAGGUUCUACUGAUGCUCUCUGUGGGAGGCAGGUGAUAGCUCACAUAGCUGGGUCACUGGCACUCACAUGGGAAAACCAGAUAGUGGGUCCUGAUCCACUUUCCCACUUCUGGCUGUCAUGGGCCAUUGGGGAUCACACUAGGGGAUGGAAGAUCUCCCUCUCUCUUGUUCUCAACCUUUGAUAACAAAUUAGCAUUCACCAGUCCAUAUUUGCAAACAUUUAAAAACCAUUUUCAAAAAAAGGAGAAACUAUUUCUCUAAUGUAAAACAUCAUUGUAUUUCUUAGCUUCAUCACACUUUUGCCAGAAAAUAGAAUAUUACAGCACACUUUAAGAACUGCUGUUUAUGCAGCUCCGGCCAUUGCAGCCAUCUGGGAGUAAACCAGCAGGUUGAAGACCUCUCUCUAUCUCUCUCUCUGCCUCUGCCUUUCUGUAACUCUGACUUUCAAAUAAAUAAAUCUUUUUCUUUAAGGGAAAGGGUUUAUUGGGGAAAACCCAGCAGGCUGGAGAGAAGGGGUGAAGAAGGAAAAGAGAGAGAAGGAGAGUGUAAGAGAGAGAGAGGAGAGGAGCUAGUCAGGAGAGAAGAGAGAGAGCAGAAAGAAGAGAGACAAGAGGGGGAGAGGAUAGGAGAGAAGAGCGCAGAAAAGAGAGCAAGAGAGAAGCCAAGAGAGAGCAGAGAGACAGCGAGAGAGAGAGCGAGAGAGAAAUAAAUCUUUAAAAAAAAGAACUACUUUAGCAAAUGUUUGUCAAUUAGAAGAGAUGAGCUGAUAUAUGUUUUUUUUUUUUUAGUUGACACAUAGUGUAGGGGGCCAUUCACUGUCUAGAUGCACAUAUACAUUGUGCUGUGAUCAAUGCAAACCCAUCACCUUUGAGUCAUUUCUUUGAGUUGGGAACAUUCAGAAUCCUCUCUUCUAGCUAUUUGGAACACAGGGAGCACCGUUGUUAACUGUGGUCACCCUACUGGGUGGUAGAUGUCAGAGGUUCUCUUCUCAUCCAACUGAAACGUUGAAUGCACUAACCAACCUCUGCCAUCACACCCUGCCACCUGCUCACCCUGAUCUUUGCUGACCACUAUUCCACUGUCCACUUCUAUGAAAUCAACUUUCUGCUCACAAGUGUCAUCACGUGGUAAUUCUCCUCUGUGCUUGGCUUAUUCACUUAUUCUAAUGAUCUCUGUGUUUGUCCGUGUUUUUCUAAAAUGAGAGCACUACAUUCUGCUUUUUGGCUGAAUACCAUUCAUCGUGUUGAUGUGUCACAUUUAAAAGCUUAUUUGUUGAUGUUUAUUUGAAAGGCAAUGAGACAAAGACAGUAAAAGACAGAUCUUCCAUUCAUUGGUUUACACCAAAAUUACCACACAGGUGAGUGUGGGCCAGGAUAAAGCCAGGAGCUCAGAACUCAAGCCAGUUGUCCCAUGUGGACAGUGGAGACCCACAAAUGUGGGCCACCACCUGCUGCUCCUAAGAUGUGCAUUAGCAGGAAGUUGAAUCUGAAGCACAGUGGGGAUCGAACCCCAUACUGUAUGAAAUGAAAUGUGGGCCUCCUAGAAACUAUCUCCACUGCUAGGACAAUACACACCCCUUGACAUCCAUCUUUGUCAUCAUCUGUGUUUCCCAUUAAAAAAAACACCCAAAAUCCUUGAGAACAAUUUACUUCCUUCCCCCAUUUGAUAUAAAUUUCUUACUCUGUCCUCUGUAGAGGGCUGUAACUGUCAAUCAGAGCAGCUUUGGUUUCUUCCCCUUGUAAAGGUAUGGUUUUGAUGGAAUUGUCAAAUAAGGGAACAUUAUGUUCCAGACCUGCUGCAUGGAGAAAAUCAAAGUUACCAAACUUUGUGGUCAUGUGUGUAUUUUUUCAAAAAUUUGUUUAGUUGAAAUACAGAUAUACAGAAAGUUUGAGAUGUUGAGAGAGAGAGAGAGGGAGACCUUCUGUCUGAUGUUUUACUCCCCCAAAGGGCUGCAAUAAACACUGCUGGGCAGAGCCAAAGCCAAAGCCAGAAUUUCAGGGCUCCAUCUAGAUCUCCCACAUGGGUGCAGGGACCUAAGCACUAGGGCCAACUUCUGUUGCUUUCCCUGGUGCAUUAUUAGGGAGCUUGGUCUGAAGUCCAGCAGCCAUGACUUGAACGGUGCUCAUAUAGGAUGUUGGUGCCACGCAGCAGCUUAGUCUGCUACACAGCAUUGCCAGCCCCAAGAUGUUCUGGAUGUUUCCAUGCAUUCAGGUGAACUCACAAUGUGUAUUAUGUCCACAUGCAUGUUUAUGUUCAUAUACACGAUUAGCUGUAGUUUACAUGGUACCAGGUUGACUUGGAAAGAAUUGCACACACAUAAAUUAGUCCCCAUGCUUACACAAGUUGAUAUGCAUUUGUGUGAUGGCUAGUGAUCCUGAGCAUUUUCUCAUGUGUUGUUGGACUUUUGAAUUUCCUCUCUUGAAAAAUACCUGUUCAAGUCCUUUGCCCAUUCCUUAACUGGAUUGUUUUGUUGUUGUUGAGUUUUUUGAGCUCUUGGUAGAUUCUGGUUAUUAAUUCUUUAUCAGUUGCAUAGUUUGCAAAUAUUUUCUCCCAUUCUGUCAGUUGCCUCUUCACUUUGGUGAGUGUUUCUUUUGCAGUGCAGAAACUUCUCAGCUUGAUGUAAUCCCAUUUGUCAAUUUUGGCUUUGAUUGUCUAUGCUUCUGGGGUAUAUCCCAAGAAGUCUUUGCCUAUGCCAAUGUCCUCCAGAGUUUCUCCAAUGUUCUCUAGUAAUUUGAUGGUAUUGUGUCAUAGAUUUAGGUCUUUGAUCCAUUUUGAGUGGAUUUUUGUGUAAGGUGUAAGGUAGGGGUCUUGCUUUCUACUUCUGCAGGUGGAAAUCCAGCUUUCCCAGCACCAUUCAUAGAAGAGACUGUCCUUGCUCCAGGGAUUGCUUUUAGCUCCUUUGUCAAAGAUAAGUUGGUUCUAGAUGUGUAGAUUGAUUUCUGGAGUUUCUAUUCUAUUCCAUUGAUCUACACAUCUAUUUUUUUGCCAGUAUCAGGUCAUUUUGAUUAUAACUGCCCUGUGGUAUAUGUUGAAAUUUGGUAUUAUGAUGCCUCCAGCUUUUUUUUUGUGUAAGAUUGCUGUAGCUCUUCAGGGCCUCAUGCUUCCAUAUGAAUUUCAGCAUCAUUUUUUCUAUGCCUGAGAAGAAUGUCCUUGAUAUUUUGAUUGGGAUCACAUUGAAUGUGUAAAUUGCUUUCUGUAGUAUGGACAUUUUGAUGAUAUUGAGUCUUCCAAUCCAUGAAUCCAUUUUCCCAUUUUUUUGUGUGUGUGUGUCUUCUUUUUCUUUCUUUAAAGAUUAUUUUUGAUCUUUGACCUUCUUGGUUAAAUUUAUUCCAAGGGAUUUAAUUUUUUUGUAGCUGUUGUGAAUAGAAUUAAUCUUAGCAGUUCUUUCUCAGUCACGGCAUGUUAAUACACAAUGGGAUACUGUUCAGCUACUGGAAGAAGGACAUUCUGUCAUUCUAGACAACAUGAAUGCCCUUGGAGGACAUCAUGAUAAGAGCAAUAAGCCAGGCACAGAAGGACAAAUACCACGUGACUCACUGACAUAUGGAAAACUAAGUGACAGCAGCCAAAAUGCAACAUGACUUCUAAUUCAUGGUGGGAAGAAGCACUAUAUUCUUAAAGUCGUAUUUAUAAAAAAUUGUUAUAGAAAAUUCUAACUCAUUACAAUUGAGGAGCCCUUGUUUUACAUAGAGAAACAGUUUUCCCCUUCUUGAAGAGGGAAAUACCAUUCUUCCUGACAUGCCUGCUGCUGCGUCCCCAACCAAACUGUUGGAUUGGAGAACCCUAGGGACUUCUUGAAGAUGAGUUCUUCCAUCUUGCAUUCUGGAGAAAGUGUUGAAUCAAAUAGGGUCAGUGGCUGAAAGCUUUGACCUCUGGGAGGCAGGAGAAUCCACAGAGAAGGAAUAAUCAACUCUGAGCACACAUGACUUCAAUCUGGUCUCUUGGGAACAGAGGAUUGGUCAGAAAGUUUCUGCCCAAAUCAGGGUCCCUACCGGGAAAUCAGGUGCUCAUAGGUCUGAGCCCCAUGAGGAGGAUGUGCCUACUGUGCAGAGACGGGGAGCUGUAAAUUCACCAUAAUCUUCAUCUGGCUCAGGGACUGAUGUUUGACUCCUUCCUGCUGUCUGUGUGGGACAGAGCUUCAGUGUCCAUCAUCAUCCAUCCCUGGAGGAGUCACACCUCUGCCCAGAGACCUUCCUCCCAGAGAACCCACACAGGGUCCUGUACUGUUUCAGAUCCAAGAGUCUCCUUCAACCAGUGCACAACAGGCACCUUCUGGAAUCUACGCCAUCAUGUUCAUUAGCAGAUGUGUUUAUUCCAUCUAUCAAUUAUGAAACCAUAUCUAUCUAAUGAUGAACAAAGGACUAGGGUUAUUUUAAAAAGAUACAUUCAUUUAUUUGAAAAGCAGAAAUACAGUGAGAGAGAGAGAGAGAGAUCUUUCAUCUGCUAGUUCACUCCCCCAAAGAGCUGCAAUGGCUGGAGCUGCACCAAUCCGAAGCCAGGAGCCAGGAGCUUCUUCUGGCUCUUCCACAUGGGUAGAGUGGCCCAAGCACUUGGGUCAUCUUCCUCUGCUUUCCCAGGCCGUAGGACAGAGCUGGAUCAGAAGUGGAACAGCUGGGACUCAAACCAACGCUCAUAUGGGAUGCUGGCACCAUAGUCAGAGGGUUAGCCCACUACGUCACAGCACCGGCCCCACCGAGCUGGUUCUGACGUCACACCUCUGUGCCUGCCCUGUGCGGGCCCCAAGUGCAUCCAUGGUGCGAUUUGUGCAGAUGUCUCUGAUCUGAACGCCAGUGCAUUUGGCCUGAAGGCGUCUCUGGGCCCCACUGCAACUGUGUGCAGCACCCAGAACUGUGCCCCCAAAACAGCUGUUUGGUAGGGAAGGUCUUUUCCUCACAUCCCUGAGACCCGGGUGAACGCAGCCAACGCAAAGGAGCAGGUCUACGCGCUGCUGCCUGCUGCCCGGGACAGGCAGAAGCCAGGUCCUGCCCCGGCUGCAAGCACAAGGCAGGCAGACAGGCUGAGGAUGGAAAGACGGCAAAUCCAAAAUGCCCUGAAAGACGCCGUGACAUCACCGCGUUUCCUGCUCUUCCUAAUGCUGGACGUUCCUAACCCAACUUCCUGCUCCGGUCACGGUGGCCUGAGGGUGCCUUCAGAUGAAGCCAGAUCGGGGCGGCGGCGGGAGGGGGGUCUCCUCGGGUCAGGCCUGCCGGCCUCCCUGGCGGUGCUGGGGGCCGCGCCCCUCAGGUGGGGUCAGCCACGCAGGCCGACGCCUGAUUCAGGUCGCCCACGGCCUCCUCCACGGCGCCGCCACAAGCAGAGGGGACCCCGCCGGAGCCCCGCGCCCAGCCGCGCCUCCGAAUUUGCCCCAAGCAUAUCCUGUUGCGCCCCGCGCCCUCUGACCCGGAAGCGCUCGGCGGUGGGGCCGCUCCCGGCGCGGCGCCCCCUCCCGACCAGAGCGGGCCGCCUUGGGCAAGAAACACAAGACAGGAUGGCACACCUCGGCGAGGGUGAGGCGGCGGCGCUUUUUAACGCACCGGCAGACGUUAGGAGCGGGGGUCCCGGCACGGGGCGGGGUGAGGAGUGGUCCCGGAGUAAUGGGCGGGGCCCGGGGACUGAGGCGGGGCUUCUGAGGAUAUGGGCGGGCCCCGGGCACAGGAGCCAGGGGGAGUCCCAGGAUAAUGGGCUUGGCCCGGGGGUCGGGGGUCGAGGAGGGGUCCCGGGCACAGGUGCAGAGGUGGGUCCUGGAGUGGUGGGCGGGGUUCUGGGCAUGGGCCUUACAGAGCCCCGGUUAGUGGGUGAGGGGGGUCCUGGUAGAUGGGGCAGGGGGCUUAAAGGGUCCUGGUAUGGUGGGCAGGGUCCGGGGGCUGAGGGGUCCCAACUGGGUGGUGGGAGGAGCCCUGGGCAUAGGAUUUACAGGGUCGCAGGAUAGUGGGUGAGGGGGGUCCUGGCUGGAUGUGGCCAUGGUCACAGGUAUGGGGCUUAGAGGGUCCUGUGGUAGUAGGCGGGGCCCAGGGGCUUGGGGUGGUUCCUGAUCAGGGACCUGAGGAGAUUCUAGGAAGAUGGGCGGGGUCCCGGGGAUGGAAGCUGAGGCGUGUCCCUGGAUGGUGGGCAGGGUCCCAGGUGUUGGGUUUAGAGGGUCCGGGAUAGUGGGCGGGGCCCCGGCACGGGGGUUGGAGAGGAGGCUGUCCCAGCAUUCAGUUUGGAAUCCUGGACACAGGAGCUGAGGGGAGUCCAAGGUUGAUGGGUGGGGCCCGGGAACUCAGGGGUUCCUGGCUGGAUGGUGGGCGGUGUUCAGGGGCCCAGGGACUCCUGGGGAGGUGAGUGGGGCCUGGACACUUGGUGAGGGUGGGCUUUACAAAUAGCAGGACUAUAUUUUUGCCUUCCAUUUAAUCCUAAAGUUGAUCGGAUGUGUGUCCUAACUUUUACUGGAAUUGCUUUCGGAGUCUUGAUCCCUGCUCUGCACCGGGGCAGGUGGCAGGGUUGUGGGGGAGCUCCUGGCUGUUGGCUGGUGGUAGGCUCAGCUCCUGGCCCUUGGCUGGUGGUAGGCUCAGCUUCUGGCCGUUGGCUCGUGGUAGGCUCAGCUUCUGGCCGUUGGCUCGUGGUAGGCUCAGCUCCUGGCGAUUAGCUGGUGGUAGGCUCAUCUCCUGGCCAUUGGCUGGGGGUAGGCUCAGUUCCUGGCCAUUGGCUGCUGGUAGGUUCAGCUACGGAAUGUUGCUGGUGGUAGGCUCGGCUUCUGGCCGUUGGCUCGUGGUAUGCUCAGCUUCUGGCCGUUGGCUCGUGGUAGGCUCAGCUCCUGGCGAUUAGCUGGUGGUAGGCUCAUCUCCUGGCCAUUGGCUGGUGGUAGGCUCGGCUCCUGGCGAUUAGCUGGUGGUAGGCUCGGCUCCUGGCCAUUGGCUGGUGGUAGGCUCAGCUCCUGGCGAUUAGCUGGUGGUAGGCUCAGCUCCUGGCCAUUGGCUGGUGGUAGGCUUGGCUCCUGGCCAUUGACUGGUGGUAGGUUCAGCUCCAGAAUGUUGUUGGUAGGCUCAGCUCCUGGCUGUUGGCUGAUGGUAGGCUCAACUCCCGAACGUUGGCUGUUUCCAGAACUAGACUGUUUACCCUUCUGACAAAAUAUCGAUACCCACUUUAUAAUGACCUUAAUAUGCAACCAUAUAGAGAGCAUAAUGUUUUCCUGUUGCUAUUCUCAGUAACUUGGAGUUUUUCACACCCAUUCAUCUAAAAUGUCAAAGGAGGAAAACAAUAACAUUUCAAGGAAUUUGGAGUUUUCAUGCAGCCAUGUCAGGAUUGAUGAUAAUCCUUGGGUCUAAGGUUUAUAUGUAUGUAUAUGUAUAUUUAUAUACCAGUGUGAUGUAUUUUGAUGUAGCAGUGUCAAAAUUCAGGACCUCAAUAGCAACCAAGUGCUACAGAUUGCACAGCAUGAUACUCCUGUUAGAAGCAAACAUUUGAUCAAAGCCCCAGUCUACAGUUGCAUGAGUGUGAUGACAGUUGCUUGGAUGAGUCUCUCAAGUUUUGGGAUGCCUGUUUAUCAAAUUCUAUGAUGAUGUUGCAACACUCUGAAGAGUUUCACUGUAGAGAUGUGAUACAGUGUGACCAUGGUAGCAACUGUGGAGACAGGCUGACUAUCAGUAAGAGAAUCAAUCUUCUGAAUUCAGGGGAAUUGAAAUCUUCAAUGAAACCUCAGCAUUGAUGUGUGGCUACUUUUAUAAACAAACAGAACAAGCCAACUGGUUUUGCCCUGGGAAAUAUUGCAAGGAGAAUUGCUAUUCAUUAUAUCAAUCUUGCAAACCCAGCCAAAGAUAACUGCAUCUCUAAAUGUCAUCUAU